rnacentral:lncRNA from 1 species
AGUUAAAAUUUAAAUUUAGAAUUUAAAAUAUAAAAUUUAAAAUUUAAAACUUUAAAAAUAAAAAAUAUCAAAAUUUUAAAUUUUGAUAUCAAAAUAUAAAAUUAUAUAUAUAUAUAUAUAUAUAUUGGGAAAGAGAGUAAAGGAGGGUUUAAGAGGGUGACACGUGUCACUCUCUGGGCCUCCCAAACCCUCCUUUAAUGUAAUAAGAAUAGAUAUAUGGCCUUGCAUUUCUUGUCCGCAUUU